AGAGUUUGAUCCUGGCUCAGGACGAACGCUGGCGGCACGCUUAACACAUGCAAGUCGAACGAGAGAAGAGGAGCUUGCUUUUCUGAUCUAGUGGCGGACGGGUGAGUAACACGUGAGCAAUCUGCCUUUCAGAGGGGGAUACCGAUUGGAAACGAUCGUUAAUACCGCAUAACAUAAUUGAACCGCAUGAUUUGAUUAUCAAAGAUUUAUCGCUGAAAGAUGAGCUCGCGUCUGAUUAGCUAGUUGGUAAGGUAACGGCUUACCAAGGCGACGAUCAGUAGCCGGACUGAGAGGUUGAUCGGCCACAUUGGGACUGAGACACGGCCCAGACUCCUACGGGAGGCAGCAGUGGGGAAUAUUGCACAAUGGAGGAAACUCUGAUGCAGCGAUGCCGCGUGAGGAAAGAAGGUUUUAGGAUUGUAAACCUCUGUCUUCAGGGACGAAAAAAGACGGUACCUGAGGAGGAAGCUCCGGCUAACUACGUGCCAGCAGCCGCGGUAAUACGUAGGGAGCGAGCGUUGUCCGGAAUUACUGGGUGUAAAGGGAGCGUAGGCGGGAUCGCAAGUCAGAUGUGAAAACUAUGGGCUUAACCCAUAAACUGCAUUUGAAACUGUGGUUCUUGAGUGAAGUAGAGGUAAGCGGAAUUCCUAGUGUAGCGGUGAAAUGCGUAGAUAUUAGGAGGAACAUCAGUGGCGAAGGCGGCAUACUGGGCUUUAACUGACGCUGAGGCUCGAAAGCGUGGGGAGCAAACAGGAUUAGAUACCCUGGUAGUCCACGCCGUAAACGAUGAUUACUAGGUGUGGGGGGACUGACCCCUUCCGUGCCGCAGCAAACGCAAUAAGUAAUCCACCUGGGGAGUACGACCGCAAGGUUGAAACUCAAAGGAAUUGACGGGGGCCCGCACAAGCAGUGGAGUAUGUGGAUUAAUUCGAAGCAACGCGAAGAACCUUACCAGGUCUUGACAUCGUAUGCAUAGCUCAGAGAUGAGUGAAAUCUCUUCGGAGACAUAUAGACAGGUGGUGCAUGGUUGUCGUCAGCUCGUGUCGUGAGAUGUUGGGUUAAGUCCCGCAACGAGCGCAACCCUUACUGUUAGUUGCUACGCAAGAGCACUCUAGCAGGACUGCCGUUGACAAAACGGAGGAAGGUGGGGAUGACGUCAAAUCAUCAUGCCCCUUAUGACCUGGGCCUCACACGUACUACAAUGGCUGUCAACAGAGGGAAGCAAAGCCGCGAGGUGGAGCGAACCCCUAAAAGCAGUCUUAGUUCGGAUUGUAGGCUGCAACCCGCCUACAUGAAGUCGGAAUUGCUAGUAAUCGCAGAUCAGCAUGCUGCGGUGAAUACGUUCCCGGGCCUUGUACACACCGCCCGUCACGCCAUGGGAGUCGGUAACACCCGAAGCCUGUAGUCUAACCGCAAGGAGGACGCAGUCGAAGGUGGGAUUGAUGACUGGGGUGAAGUCGUAACAAGGUA
rnacentral:rRNA from 1 species